CUGAGCCACUAGGACAGACAUCUGUGGUCAUUAAGGAUGCUCAUGAAGAAAGGAAGGUCCACAGCCACAAUCUUGCCUGUGAUGCUAGAUUACCAGCUCUGCAGACGGUCUUGUAGUACUGAUUAUGCCAUGUACUGCGCACCAUGGUUUUUUUUCUGGGAUAUUGCAGUGACAUGGUUGAAGUCACACAGGUCUGCGAUAGCCUAGUUCAGUAAUUUAGAAUCUAAAGGAAGGGAACUGAGUACUGAACAUGUCCUUCCAGAGUUUCUCCUUUCACACUCCGUCGCUCUGUGGCCCUCUUCGCUGCCUGCUGCCUGCCUUCUUUCACAGUCAGAGUCUCACAUUGAACCUGAAGGUGACCAUUUCUGCUAGAGUAGCUGGCCUGCAUUCUCUGGGAUCAUCAUGGCUCUAUAACCAGUUCUUAGAUUACAUACCUGCUGUCACACAUGACCCAGGUUCUGAGGAUGUCACCUCUGAACAUGU